rnacentral:rRNA from 1 species
UACGUAGGGUGCGAGCGUUGUCCGGAAUUAUUGGGCGUAAAGAGCUCGUAGGCGGCUUGUCGCGUCGGAUGUGAAAGCCCGGGGCUUAACUCCGGGUCUGCAUUCGAUACGGGCAGGCUAGAGUUCGGUAGGGGAGAUCGGAAUUCCUGGUGUAGCGGUGAAAUGCGCAGAUAUCAGGAGGAACACCGGCGGCGAAGGCGGAUCUCUGGGCCGAUACUGACGCUGAGGAGCGAAAGCGUGGGGAGCGAACAGG